rnacentral:rRNA from 1 species
GGGGGGGGGGGGGGGGGGGGGUGGCGCGGGGGGGUCGGGCGGGGGGGGGGGGCGUGGGGGGGGUGCGGGGGGGGCGAGCGGGUGAGGAGCGGGUGCGUAGCCUGUCCUUGACUUAGGGAGAACUUCCGGAACCUGGGGCUCAUCCCGGAUAGGUGCUCCUGCUGCAUGUUGUGGGUUCGAAAGUUUCGGCGGUUGGGGCUGGACUGGCGGCUUAUCAGCUGGUUGGUGGGGUAUCGGCUUACCCAGGCUGUGCCGGGUAGGCGGCCGGUGCGGGUGAACGGCCACAUUGGGACUGAGAUACGGCCCAGACUCCUACGGGAGGGAGCAGUGGGGAAUAUUGCACAAGGGGCGGAAGCCUGAUGCAGCAACGCCGCGUGCGGGAUGACGGCCGUCGGGUUGGAAACCGCGUUCGCCUGUGACGAAGCGUGAGUGACGGUAAUGGGUAAAGAAGCACCGGCUAACUACGUG